CCACGAAACAGCACAUCCCACCCCACAUCACUGGGAUACUGGUCCCAUAAUCCCCUUCCUCUCCAGCGGAAAUCCCAAUCCUCUCCCAGCUGGGCAGGGGGCUGGAAUUCUGCUGGAACCCAGCAAGGGCAGGGGAGGGACCAGCCCUGGGGACAUCCAGCUGGAAACCCACUGGGUUUGGGACAGGACGGAAUUUGUGCCACGGAAUUGCAAUGCAGGACCGAAUGGAACUGAAUGAAGGAAUUUAAACAAUA